UACGGGGGGAGCAAGCGUUGUUCGGAUUUACUGGGCGUAAAGGGCGCGUAGGCGGUCAGCACAAGUCAGUUGUGAAAUCUCCGGGCUUAACUCGGAAAGGUCAACUGAUACUGUGCGACUAGAGUGCGGAAGGGGCAACUGGAAUUCUCGGUGUAGCGGUGAAAUGCGUAGAUAUCGAGAGGAACACCUGCGGCGAAGGCGGGUUGCUGGGCCGACACUGACGCUGAGGCGCGAAAGCCAGGGGAGCGAAUGGG
rnacentral:rRNA from 1 species